UACGUAGGGUGCGAGCGUUGCCCGGAUUUAUUGGGCGUAAAGGGCUCGUAGGCGGCCAACUAAGUCAGACGUGAAAUCCCUCGGCUUAACCGGGGAACUGCAUCUGAUACUGGAUGGCUUGAGUUCGGGAGAGGGAUGCGGAAUUCCAGGUGUAGCGGUGAAAUGCGUAGAUAUCUGGAGGAACACCGGUGGCGAAGGCGGCAUCCUGGACCGACACUGACGCUGAGGAGCGAAAGCCAGGGGAGCAAACGGG
rnacentral:rRNA from 1 species